AGAGUUUGAUCCUGGCUCAGAACGAACGCUGGUGGCGUGCUUAAUACAUGCAAGUCGAACGAGAAAGUUGGGCUUCGGCCCGGCGAGUAAAGUGGCGAACGGGUGAGUAACACGUGGAUAAUCUGCCCUCAAAUCUGGGAUAAUCCUUCGAAAGGGGGUCUAAUACCGGAUAACAACUUGAAGUGGCAUCUUUUUAAGUUCAAAGGCGGGGCAACCUGCCGUUUGAGGAUGAGUCCGCGCUCCAUUAGCUUGUUGGUAGGGUAAAAGCCUACCAAGGCUGCGAUGGAUAGCCGGCCUGAGAGGGUGAUCGGCCACACUGGGACUGAGAUACGGCCCAGACUCCUACGGGAGGCAGCAGUAGGGAAUAUUGCGCAAUGGACGAAAGUCUGACGCAGCAACGCCACGUGGGUGAUGAAGCUUCUUGGAGUGUAAAACCCUGUCAGUGGGGAAGAAACGUGAGAAGAGUAACUGCUUCUUGCCUGACGGUACCCGCAGAGGAAGUCCCGGCUAACUCCGUGCCAGCAGCCGCGGUAAUACGGGGGGGACAAGCGUUGUUCGGAUUUACUGGGCGUAAAGGGCGCGUCGGCGGGCCUUCAAGUCGGAUGUGAAAACUCAGGGCUCAACUCUGAGCUUGCAUUCGAUACUGUCGGUCUUGAGUACGGAAGAGGAAAGUGGAAUUCCAGGUGUAGCGGUGAAAUGCGUAGAUAUCUGGAAGAACACCAGUAGCGAAGGCGGCUUUCUGGUCCGAUACUGACGCUUAAGCGCGAAGGCUUGGGGAGCAAACAGGAUUAGAUACCCUGGUAGUCCAAGCGGUAAACGAUGGGUACUAGGUGUCGGGGGUAUCGACCCCCUCGGUGCCGAAGCUAACGCAUUAAGUACCCCGCCUGGGGAGUACGAUCGCAAGAUUGAAACUCAAAGGAAUUGACGGGGGCCCGCACAAGCGGUGGAGUAUGUGGUUUAAUUCGAAGCAACGCGAAGAACCUUACCUGGGUUUGACAUGCUUGAGACCGCUGGUGAAAGCCAGCUUUCCCUUCGGGGACUCUUGCACAGGUGCUGCAUGGCUGUCGUCAGCUCGUGCCGUGAGGUGUUGGGUUAAGUCCCGCAACGAGCGCAACCCUCGUCCAUAGUUGCCAGCUGGUAAUGCAGGGAACUCUAUGGAGACUGCCGGUGAUAAGCCGGAGGAAGGUGGGGAUGACGUCAAGUCCUCAUGGCCCUCACACCCA
rnacentral:rRNA from 1 species